rnacentral:rRNA from 1 species
AACGAACGCUGGCGGCAUGCCUAACACAUGCAAGUCGAACGAGACCUUCGGGUCUAGUGGCGCACGGGUGCGUAACGCGUGGGAACCUGCCCUUAGGUUCGGAAUAACUCCCCGAAAGGGGUGCUAAUACCGGAUAAUGUCUUCGGACCAAAGAUUUAUCGCCUUUGGAUGGGCCCGCGUUGGAUUAGCUAGUUGGUAGGGUAAAAGCCUACCAAGGCGACGAUCCAUAGCUGUUCUGAGAGGAUGAUCAGCCACACUGGGACUGAGACACGGCCCAGACUCCUACGGGAGGCAGCAGUGGGGAAUAUUGGACAAUGGGCGAAAGCCUGAUCCAGCAAUGCCGCGUGAGUGAUGAAGGCCUUAGGGUUGUAAAGCUCUUUUACCCGGGAUGAUAAUGACAGUACCGGGAGAAUAAGCUCCGGCUAACUCCGUG